rnacentral:lncRNA from 1 species
CAGCAAUGGACGGGGUCAUUGGCCUGCAACAGCCUGGCCCUUGGAUGGGACCAUACAAGGCUGACUGCAAGGGAAACAUGAACACAUUUCCCGCACUUCCCACUCCCUGCUGAUGCUGAAUGGCUUUUCAUGGAAGCACUUAACAGUGGUUGUAGAAGGACUGCCAUUUUUUUCUACAUGGCUCAUGGGGACCCAGCUGUGAUGGCAGUGCUGAUCCACAACCCAACAGUAUGGGCUUUCUCCACCCACACUCUUUCUGGGGGACAACAUCUUACUCUUUUGCCCUGGCUGGAGUGCAGUGGUGUGAUCAUGGCUCACUGUUGCCUUGAACUCCUAAGCUCAAGAAAUCUUCCUGUCUUAGCAGCCUGAGUAGCUGGGACCAUAGGAUGAUAUAAAGUACAUGAAGCAAAAAGAUGACAUCAUCUAAUCGUGUUACUGUGAGCAGAGAAGAAUUCAAAUUCAGGCAUCCAGGGUAACCAAUUUUAUGGGACACAUGUGACUCAGCCUUAGCCUCCUUCUCUACAAUUACAUUUCCCCACCUGGGAUUUCACAGAUCAGCAGUAAACAAACUCCAAGUUUCAUUUCCGUAAAGUGACAGAAGAUGGGUCCCCUGAGUGAAGACGGCCUUCUACCCUUCAUCUGAGAAAUUUAAACCAGUAGAUUUGAUAAUAAAUGUUAAGGGUAUUCAAUUAACAUACAAAGUGGCAGCUGGAAAGGGCACCGCAGACAGAUGUCUGGCUAGAGUCAGUUCUGUGCCCAGGAGAGACAAAGUAGCUAAUAAAUGCUGUUCUCUAUUUAUGUGUUGACUUCUGAGACACUCCACUUUGAGUGUUUUCUUGGUAAAGAGUUCAUCUGAUCUCAAGAACCCACCCCCCAAGGAGGGAAAGUCCAUUGUCUUUGCCUUAGAUUGGCAGGUAGAGUAAAUGAAAAAUUAAGAAAUUAUGUGAAUUCCCCCAAAGAGAAGAGAAGGGCUAGAGUGACUAUUUUAUGUUACGUGGAGAUGAGGGUGUGCUUAUUCUUUCAGCUGACAUAAUCUAUUAACAUAUGUAAAAUGCUUAUAAAGAGUCUCCAGCACAUGUUAAGUGCUGAAUAACACAGCCACCACCACCACCAGCAUCACAUACUAUUGACAGGCAUUGUACUAACUUCCUGGGAUUCAAACAUUAAACAUACAUAUUAAACAUAUGUACAAAUAAAACACCUCUAUGUGUUCAAAAAAUACACGUAUACAAAUGAAUAAGUCCAAUAGACUUCUGUGAAAAGUGAAUCUACAAAGACUCACAUAAAAUCAUGGUUAUGGCUGGUAGACUAGCAGGUUAAGUGAAGGAGGUCUUCAAGGAAGAGUUAGCACAAUCUAGGAACUGUUCACCAAGCAGGUAAGAGAAAAAGACCUUCACAAACACGGAAGAAACAAACACACCCUGGUAAACUUGGGGAAUUAUAAGAAGCCCAGUUUGACUGUUGACUCUGAUGUGAUGAGUUAAGGGAAAGAAAUGAGGCUAGGAGGAGGUAAACUUGUGGGCUCACUUUGUGGAAGUCUUUGCUGCCCUACUAAGGAAUUGGAGCUGUAUGUCAUAGAAAUCCAUUUGACAAUUUCAAGGGGGCCAUGUUACAGGAUCUCUAAAGAUAGCAUGCCCUUCAAUUUGCAAAAACACAUGCCAUUUAAACUCCCUGUGCUGACUUCCUCACUAAUAGAGUGAAGGUUAUUAUGGAUGGAAGGAGUAACAUGAUAGAAGCAAAAGCAACGCUAAAACAUUACAGGGAUGUAUGAUAUACUAGUUUAUUUUCACACUACUAUAAAGAACUACCUGAGACUGGGUACGUUAUAAAGAAAAGAGGUUUAAUUGACUCACAGUUCCACAUAGCUGGGGAGGCCUCAGGAAACUUACAAUCAUGGAGAAAGGCCAAGGGGAAGAAAGGCAUGUCUUACAUGGCAGCCAGGGAGAGAGAGCAAGGAUGAAAUCAUCAAAUCUAGUGAGAACUCACUAUCCCGAGAACAGCUGAGGGAAAUCCAACCCCAAUGAUCCAGUCAUCUCCCAACAGGUCCCUCCCCUGACACAUGUGGAUUAAAAUUCUACAUGAGAUUUGGGUGGGGACAAAGAACCAAACCGUAUCAAGGGAAAUCACAGAAUUUUGUGUUGUCAUCAAAAAUUUGAAAAAAGCAGGGUGGAGGUGAGUCUUAUCACAUCUCCAUUUAACUUGCCUGUCUGAUUCUUAUAGAAGUUGGAUGGGUUUCAGACACAGCCAAUGGAUUAUUGCAAACAAAACAGAGUUGACUCCAAAAUUGCUAUAGCUAUUCCAGCUGUAGUCAUUUUACUGGAUCAAAUAAACACAGCUUAGGAACGUAGUAUGGAAUUACUCAAAAAAAUUAUUUACUUCUAUCCCAGGGAUCCACAAGCAAUACCCAUGGGUAAAAUCUGAUCCUCAGUUUUUAUAAAUAAAGUUUUAUUGGAACACAAUCAUGCCCAUUCCCUAACAUAUUGCCUAUGGCUACUUUUAUGCCACAGUGACAGAGUUGAAUAGCUGCAAGAAAGAUUGUGGCUCACAAAGCUUAAACUAUUUAGUAUCUAGCUCUUUUUAGAAAAAGUUUGUUGACACCUGCCCUAUCAUAAUGAAGACGAGAAGCAGGCUGCUUUCACGUAGCAUAAACAUCAGUAUACCUCUCCUGAAACUAUCCCAGGCCAUGAUAACUCUUAUGUGCUCUUCAAAACUCAGUCCACAGAAUUUUGAUCAUUUUAAUAUGCCACAGAACAUCUUACUGGUCCACAUACACAUUUGGUUUCUUGCUGAUAGGAUCUGGUGAUCAGAAAAUAGAAAGUGCCUCUGAAAGAGAAAACCUGCAUGAUCUUGCUUGUUUAUAGAUUAUAAGUGUCAAACUCUUAUAAGCAAGUUGAAUGGUGGUUACUAGAGGCUGGGCUAGGGGUGGAGGGGAAGACCGGGGAGAUGUUAGUCCAAGAAUACAAUAUUUCAGAUCAACCAGAGAAAAAGGUUCAGGAUAACUAUAUUAUACAAUACAGGGACUAUGGUUAAUAAUAAUAAUGUAACAUACUUGAAAAUUGUGAAGAGAGUAGACUUUAAGUGUUUUCACCAUAAAAAACAUUUUUAAGGUAAUGGAUAUGUUAAUGAGUUUGAUUUAGUCAUUACACAAUGUAUACACUUAUCAAAACAUUAUAUUGUAUGCCAUAAAUGUAUACAACUUUUGUCAAUUAAAA